rnacentral:rRNA from 1 species
CUUUACUGUAGCCUGGUAUUGGGUUCGGGCUUUGACUGCGCAGGAUAGGUGGGAGACACAGAAGGUGCCCUUGUGGGGGCACUGGAGUCAUCAGUGAGAUACCACUCUGUCAAGGCUAGAAUUCUAACCCUUACCCGUUAUCCGGGGAGGGAACAGUAUCAGGUGGGCAGUUUGACUGGGGCGGUCGCCUCCUAAAUGGUAACGGAGGCGCGCAAAGGUUCCCUCAGGCUGGUUGGAAAUCAGCCGCAGAGUGUAAAGGCAGAAGGGAGCUUGACUGCAAGAGCAACAACUCAAGCAGGGUGGAAACACGGCCUUAGUGAUCCGACGGCGCUGAGUGGAAGGGCCGUCGCUCAACGGAUAAAAGUUA